AAUCACAGGUUGGAGCUGAAAGAGAAACCUUUUUAUUAGCGCUUUCUCAGCCUCCAGCGCUCAGAGCCGGGGAGUAGGGCCGGGCCUUGGGAGCUCCCACGUGGGACGAGAUGGCGUCUUCUGUGCGGCUGGACUUCAACCUGCAGGCCCUUCUGGAGGAGCUCAGCCAGGAUGAGCUGAGCCAGUUCAAGUCUCUGAUCAGGACCAUCACCCUGGGAAAUGGGCUGCAGAAGAUCCCCCAGACAGAGGUGGAUGAGGCUGAUGGGAAGCAACUGGCGGAAAUCCUCAGCAGCCAUUGCCCCAGCUACUGGUUGGAGAUGGCCACCCUCCAGGUCCUUGAAAAGAUGCAUCGAGCGGAUCUGUGUGAGAGAGUGAAGGAGGAACUCAGAGAAGCAGCUUUGCGAUCAUUUAAUAAAAACAAGCCUCUAUCGUUAGAGACAAUACGGAAAGGAGAGCCAAAGCCUGUAGACCUGGAUGAAAUGCUGGUGCGUUUCGAAGCAGAAGCACAAGCGUUUACAGAAACAGAGGAAGAUGUCAGCGGCCUGAGAGAAGCUAAAGUCUUGAAAAAAGAAAUGCCAGGGAAAGAGGAUAGGCACAGGAGUAUACUGAAGAUGAAGUUGAAGCAAAUGUGGGAAGCCUGGCCCGGAGACAGCAAAGAGGUCCAAGCUGUGGCUCAGAGAUACACCACGCUGAUCCCGUUCAGCAACCCCAGGAUGCUUCCCGGGCCCUUCCCACACACUGUGGUGCUGCACGGCCCUGCCGGCCUUGGAAAAACCACGCUGGCCAAGAAAUUAAUGUUGGACUGGACCGAGGACAACCUCAGCCACAAAUUCAAAUACGCUUUCUACCUCAGCUGCAAAAAGCUCAGCCGCCUGGGCCUGUGCAGUUUUGCAGAGCUGGUCUUCAGGGACUGGCCGGAAUUGCAGGAUGACAUUCCAAACAUCCUAGCCGAAGCACAGAAAAUCCUGUUUGUGGUGGAUGGCCUUGAUGAGCUGGGAGCCCCCCCCGGGGCGCUGAUCCACGACAUCUGCGGGGACUGGCUGAAGCCGAAGCCGGUGCCGGUCCUCCUGGGGAGUUUGCUGAAGAGGAAGAUGUUACCCAAGGCCGCCCUGCUGGUCACCACGCGGUCCUGGGCCCUGAGGGACCUCCGGCCCCUGAUGGAGCAGCCCAUCUUCAUAAGGGUGGAGGGGUUCCUGGAGAAGGACAGGAGGGCCUAUUUCCUGAGACACUUUGGAGACGAAGACCAAGCCGUGCGUGCCUUUGAGCUGAUGAGAAGCAACGCAGCCCUGUUCCAGCUGGGCUCGGCGCCCACGGUGUGCUGGAUGGUGUGCACCAGUCUGAAGCUGCAGAUGGAGAACGGGGAGGAUCCGGCCCCCACCUGCCACACCCGCACGGGGCUGUUCCUGCACUUUCUCUGCAGCCGCUUCCCGAAGGGUGCACAGCUCGGGGACACGCUGCGGGCACUGAGCACCCUGGCUGCGCAGGGCCUGUGGGCACAGAUGUCUGUGUUCCACACAGAGGACCUGGAGAGCUUCGGGGUGCAGGAGUCCGACCUCCGCCCGUUCCUGGACAGAGGCAUCCUCCGCCAGGAUAGAGACUCCAAAGACUACUACUCCUUCCUCCACCUCAGCCUCCAGCAGUUUUUCACUGCGCUGUUCUACGCCCUGGAGGAGGAGGAGGAGGACAGGGACCGCCAUGCCUGGGACAUUGGGGAUGUGCAGAAGCUGCUUUCCAGUGAAGAAAGAGUCCAGAACCCCGACCUGAUCCAAGCAGGACGCUUCUUAUUCGGCCUUGCCAACGAGAAGAGAGCCACAGAGUUGGAGACCACUUUUGGCUGCGUGAUGUCACGGGAGAUCAAACGGGAGUUACUGUGCUGCGACAUCAUUUGUGACGAGGACAGAUACUCAACCUUGACGGACCUGAAGGAGGUCUUACACUGUCUGUACGAGUCUCAGGAGGAGGAGCUGGUGAAGGGGGCGAUGGCCCCAUUGAAAGAAAUAUCCCUGCACUUAAGUGCUGCAGACGUUGUGCCCUCUUCAUUCUGCAUCAAGCAUUGUCGAAACUUGGAGAAAAUGUCACUGCAGCUGAUAAAGGCAAAGCUCCCAGAGAAUGUCACUGCCUCUGAAUCAGAUGCUGAGGUUGAGAGAUCCCAGGAUGAUCAACACAUGCUUCCUUUCUGGACGGAUCUUUGCUCCAUAUUUGGCUCAAACAAGGAUCUCAUCAUUCUAGAAAUCAAUAAUAGCUUUCUUAGUGCCUCACUGUUAAGGAUCCUGUGUGAACAAAUAGCUUCUGACGCCUGUCAUCUCCAGAGAGUGGUGAUCACAAACAUUUCCCCAGCUGAUGCUUAUCGGAACCUCUGCCUAGCUCUUCAAGGUCACAAGACUGUAACACAUCUAAGACUUGGAGGCAGUGCCCAGAAUGAUACGCUUCCUGCACUGUGUGAGGUCCUGAGACACCCAAAAUGUAACCUGCAGUAUCUCGGGUUGGUGUCUUGUUCCGCUACCACUCAGCAGUGGGCUGAUCUCUCCUUGGCCCUUGAAGUCAACCGGUCCCUGACGUGCGUGAACGUCUCCAACAGUGAGCUCCUGGAUGAGGGUGCCAAGUUGCUGUACACAACUUUGAAACACCCAAAAUGCCUCCUGCAGAGGUUGUCGUAAGUCUCUUUUCUCUUCAGAGCUGCUGUGGUUUCCACCUGGGGCCGUAGAUGAGAAACAGUCAUGGCCGACUUGGCUGCGUGGAACCUCUCACUGAUAGGAACACCUGUUCCCAUGUUGAGAUCCGGACAGAUGGCUUCUCAGUCUUGUUCUCUCAUUGCUAUUCCUUCAGAUGAUCACCAGGGCAGGAGAGAGGGUUGGAAAACUGUCACCUUACAGAAGCCAAUUGCAAGGACCUGGCUGCCAUUUUGGUUGUCAGCCGGGAGCUGAUGCACCUGUGCUUGGCCGAGAACCCCCUCGGGGAUACGGGGGUGAAGUUUCUGUGUGGGGGCUUGAGUUACCCCGACUGUAAACUACAGACCCUGGUGCUGUGGAACUGUGACAUAACCAGCAACGGCUGCUGUCACCUCGCAAAGCUUCUCCACGAAAAAUCAAGCCUAACGAACUUGGAUCUGGGGCGGAAUGACAUAGGAGUUCCCGGAGUGCGGGGCCUAUGUGAGGCUUUGAAGAAACCACUGUGUAACUUGAAACGUCUGUGGUUGUGGGGAUGUUCCAUCCCUCCGGCCAGUUGUGAGAAUCUCUGCUGUGUCCUCAGCUGCAACCAGACCCUCAUCACUCUGGACCUGGGCGAGAAUUCCUUGGGGUAUAGUGGAGUAAAGUUGCUGUUUGAAACCCUGACACGUGCAAAUGGCACCCUCCAGACACUCAGGUUGAAAAUAGAUGACGUUACUGAUGAACUCGAUACGCUGCUGAAAGAAAUAGAAGGCAGCAACCCACAACUGACUAUUGCUACUGAGAAUCAAGAGCCCUGGAAAAAAAGGCCUUCUUCUGGCUACUUCAUUGUCUGAAUCCCCCCCCAGAGUCAUUCAUUCUCAAUGAAGCCAAGGAUUUCCCAGGUGUUGGUGAACUGUCUGUGACUCCCCCCCACACCCCACCCCCACUCCUCGGGGAAAUGAGUUGAUUGCCGGGCUAGAUGUUUUAGUCACGGUUCUGCCUCUGUUUUAGGUAGAACAUGUGUAUGUCCUUGACCUUGUUAUGUAUGAAAUAUCUGUAUCACGGGUAUAUGGAGAGAAAUAAAGGUGAGAGCAUUCACAAA